CUGGGAGAUCUGUGGACUGGGAGAUCUGUGGACUGGGAGAUCUGUGGACUGGGAGAUCUGUGGACUGGGAGAUCUGUGGACUGGGAGAUCUGUGGCUAAAUCAAGUGCGACCUACUGCGCUGACCAAUUUGAUAGCUCACCUUGCCUACAGCUUCCCCGGCCACAGAAAAGUUUGUAGCCUACGUGAGAUUUUCAUAACUUUUAAAACCAUGACCAGAGAGACACUGUCAAAGAAUAUAGCAAAGAGCUGCUGUUGAUAAGAGUGUGUAUGUUUUAAUUUGAUUUUCACCGCUGUCACUGUUUUUAUUCAACAUUAUUACAAAACAUAAAACGUCCUUCUCUCGCGCUGCAGGUGCAAUGAAUGAGUAGACAAGUGUAACGAUAGCCCUUUUUAUUAUUAUUUUAAUGUGGAGGAAUAUAUCACUUUCUCUGGUCAACAACAUGAAUUUAUGCAUGCAUAUUGGUUAUGCGUUACGACUCGAGAUACACCAUCAGGUGGAAGACUGUCCCCUCUCUCUGGUCAGUCUCACCAGAGGAAAGGAAGGAGAGAGCAGGGACCAUGAGAGAUGGACCCUCUGCUGCUCUCUUGCUCCCUCCCUCCACUGAGAAUAAGGCCAUGUUCAAAACAACUGAACUCUUUACUCUGAAAUCUCAGACUUCCCGAAUUCAGUGCGUUCAAGACAACUGGGAACUUGGAUGACCAUCGUUUUGAAUGGUCAUCCAACUCAGAAUUCCAUGUCGGAAAGUCGGGCAUGUUUCUAGAGCUCUGACUUUCCGACCUGCAGAUCACUGACGUCAUGAUUUGACCUGUUGAGUUGUCUUGAAAGCACCAUGACAGUUGCAGGAGGUACCAUCAGUCCAGUAAAAUAAAAAAGCAAAUUAUUUAAAUUUAUGCUCAGCUGUGCCUUGCAAGUGCUACACCAACUGAUCUAUUUUGUUAUCAAAGCUUGAGUUUUAAAAUAUAAUAUGGUCUGAGAAGAACAAUAUUACCAGGCCAGGCACAUAGCCAAUAUGCUGUGAUAAUGUAUUAGGCCUACUGCUCGUCAUUCCCACAACAAAUGUUUUAUUAGGUUAAUGUUACAUUUUUAAAGUAAUGUUUUAAAAAACAAUGGGAGUCGUUGUCCACAAAGCGGUGUUGCUCCCGCCUAUCCUUUCUUUGGAUUGGUGGAUACAUUUGGAAUAUUCGAUGAGGGUUGUUGACGUCAACCCGAGAGAUGCUAUGCUACUAGCCUCAUGUCAUGAAUAUGCAUAGCCAUCUCGAGACAACUCCGAUAUAAAGUGUUUUUUUUUCUCAAAGUUGCCGGGAUGCCACGUGUCCUACUUAUAUCAGUACACUCGUAACAACUUAAGCAUUACGAAAUGUCUAUUCAGUCAAAUUUACCUCAUGUAGCAAAUAAGCCAUACAUUUUUUAGUUCGACACACUCUCAUUGACCUGCAUACAAAAGCUCCUUGUUUGGUGGGCAAAACAAGGGGAAAAAACUGGAGGGAGACAGAUUUUCCACCAAGUUGGGCCUCCCUCUUCUACUCUGGUAGAAGGCAAAAAGGCUAUGCUGCGGACACGCUACGGGGUGUGGGACAUCAUCUAUAAUAAUAUGGCUGCUCUAAAUUCUUUUGACCAGCAGGUGCCACUAGUGUACACUGUGUUGAUCAAAGCCCCGAGUAAAUGAACCUAUUUGACACAAUUAGCUGAAAAACCUCAAUGCUUCAGAAUGAUUCGUGUCCAUCACUAGUUAUUGACGCAUAGCAACUCAAAGGAGUCAGAGGUUAAUAAAAUAAAUAAAAACUCUAGUCUGCUCUCAACUCCGUGAGAGGCCGGCAGAUGGUGAUAUUGAGUCAUUUCAUUUUACCGUCCAAAUGGAACUUAUGCAGCCGGCUAUACACUCAUAUCUAGGGCACUAUAACAUCCACAUUGUGGACAGAAUCAUAUAAUCCAGACAUUAAAAUAGAAUUCAACAAUAUUUAAAAAAAAAAAAAUUAACUUUGUAGGAAAUCAACAAAAACAAAUUGGACUUAUUGGAAAAUGCAUUCAUUUGCGAAGUAAGUCACAAGAAUGCCCCGGUCUGUGGGUAUUUGCACACUUGUCUACACUUUGCAUAUCCAUUAGCGACGAUUCUAAUGAUAACCUUCUGUUAACCUUUCCUAUUCUUUCCCAAAAACCUUCUCAAAUGAAUGUUAUUUAAAAAGUAGCCUAUGCCUACCUGGCAGAAUGAUUAUUUGCUUCAAACCAGGUGGUCAUUUUACGAACUCUGCAACCACAUGAGUGCUACAGAAACACUGCUUAGCCAAACAAUGGUCUCUUCCUGGUGCACACUUGCACGCCAAAACAUUAAAACGUCUUUAUUUUCCCCCCCAGACCUCUAAAAUGGUCUCCUGAUGUGUUUUAAACAUUGUUGUGGACUUAGAACAUUCAAUUCUGAAAUGUUUUCUUUUUGAAACCUGAAAAUAUUCGGGGGAAACGGAAAUCUGGAAAGACGAAAUGGAAUUUGGGGGAAAAACUAAACGGAAUCAGGCAAAAAAAUGAAACAGAUUUUAUAGGGCCCUACGUAUCCCCUGUGGACCGGGUGGUAAACAUUCUCCAUUCAGGCUGCAAAGCCAUCCAUUUCCUCCUUAACUAGUUAAUGUCGAGAAUGUGGGAAAAUAUGCAUGCUUUCUUUAUGAAACACCAUUUUUCACCUCCAUGCUGGAUUAGCUAAUGCUAGUCCCAGAUGUUGCAUAUCACAUUCAGCCAAUAAGACUGCUACAACCUGAGGUGUUGUCAACUGUGGUCAUUGCUCACCUCUAUGACCUUUCCCCAGUAUUGUCAUGGAGGGAACACCCGUGGAGGUGCUUGGCGUCCCUGACGAUAUCCUUGCCUCUGUUAGAAGGGUUGACAAGCUCACAAUACACUUCCAACGACCAGGGAACGGGGGAGGAGAGUUAAAGAGAGUACAGUUUCCAUCCUACAGCCCAGGACAGGCCUUCGUCAUGUUUGAGGAUCCAGAAGUGGCUGCACGUGUGUUGCAGCGGACCCAUGUCUUAGAAGUGGAUGGACAACACUUUCCUCUUAAAAUCAGGAACGCUGACACGCCUGAGGUGGACGUGCCAGUCAAGGCCGAUCUGGAGGUGAGCAUGUUCUCCAAGGACAGCGAGGAGGUGCUCCAGCCUGUGAACGAGAUUCCCCAGCUACCCAUUCAGGGCUCCUUUCAGAAGUUCACUGCAGUGAAGGCCCAACUGCAGCAGGUCUUACCCCAGGACACAAACACCCUGCGCCACAGCAGCCCUUCGCCAUCCAGUCUCAAUAGCCAUGCCUCUGGGGCCAUUUCCAAAUCCUCAAUCCGCUGCAACCCAUUUCCCAGCCCGCAAGCAACAGGGUAUGUUGGGGACAACUUGACCCAUAUGAGGAACACAUCCCCCAAACCAGUGGAACCCAUCUCCCAGACCCCAUCUUGCAGUGAGGUCUUCUUCAUAACGGACGCAGAUGUGCUCCGUUAUGCCCAGUGCGUCAGGAAAAAGGACAUUGAUUCCAUUCUUGGAGGCCACGCAACUCAAAUGGAUGUUAAGCCAGCUGAAGAUUCAGACCUCCGCUAUGUUUUCCUUGAAGGGAAGAGUCCAGAGCGGGUUAUGGAAAAGCUGCAGGUUUUUCUCAACAAGCUUCAUUUAAGACUACGAACUCAAGAAAUCCCACUAUGGACACUCGAUAGCGACCGACAGGUUCGAAUUCAUGAACUGGUUCAGAAGUAUAAUAUAAUUUAUCCUACUGUCCUCGUCAAUCAUGUUGGAGAUCUCCUCCGCCUUGUAGGACCUUCCAAGGAAAGUUAUGAGAUGAAGCAGAGGCUCCUGGGAAAACCCAUACUGCUACCAGCUGGGCUAACUGGGAGGGUAGUGGACAGCAGUACCCAUGGUGCUCCCAUCCCAUGGGCUCCUGGCCCCGUACCUGACCCCGUGUCUGCUACUGCACCAGAUUACUAGUAAAUGAACUACAUUUUGCAGUAGCUUGGUGAUAGUGGAACUAAAUUCAAAUCUAGAUAGUGUUUGCAGUAGUUCAUUACUUGUUGUCAUGUAGCAGUGUAGCUAACUACUGGAACUACACACUAUGUUUUAGCCGUGUAGCCAACUACUGGAACUACACACUAUGUUUUAGCCGUGUAGCCAACUACUGGAACUACACACUACAUUUUUGGCUAAAAUAAGAUGAGUGAAGUAGGCCAUAAUUUCAAUUUUUGGGCAUCAGACCAACCCGUUUCUCACUUGAAACAUCGUUUUUGUGUUUAGGCUAAAUUACACAUUCUGUUAAUAUAUGACCCUAAAGUGAUCUCUUCUUGCAAUUUGUAGUCUGACAUUUCAGAUUUAGCCAUGAUCUGUUUUCACAAAGUAGUUUGGAUGUAGUGAACUACUUUUCAAAAUAACUGUAGUUAAGUAAACUAUUUUUCUUAACUUCUUCCAGUGUGAGGUAAAUGGUAGCUUGCUAAACUGUCUUUUCUGAGUAGCUUUCCCAACACAGAAAAAUACCAGGGUGAGCCUGGCUCCCGUUCAUCCCAGGCAAAUCUAUUCUCUGUCCUGGUACCCAAAUGGUGGAACAAGCUUCCAGUUCCCCCUAAAAUCAGGACACUGCCCAUCUUCUGAAAACCCACCUCUUCAGUAUCUUUAACUAACACCCUUGUUGACACUGGCACUACCACUACUCUUUUCUUACUAGCUUUGAUCAGUUAUUGAGGAAAAAUGUACUGACUAUGACGGUGAUAUGUGGUUGUCUCACCUAGCUAUCUUUAAGAUGGAUGCACAAACUGUGCAGUGACUCUGGAUAAGAGAGUCUGCUGAAUGACAAAAAUGUAAUGUUUAAUGAACAUGGAAGGGUUGUAACAAGGGGCUACAGUAGGCGCUGUGCCCUCUACACCCAGAAGUCACUCUGAUUCCCCAGCUAAAAUAAAAGAGCAUAGAGUUACACGGGAGGUCUUGAGGCCAGUAAGGGCGGAUGAUGUGUUGGUGCCCUCUGCUGGAACUCAAAUGCCAGUGUUGAAAAAUAAGUCAUUACUUCCAGAAAGUCCUACUAACACAAUAGAAUGGAAGAAUGUGCUUUCAAGCAAGAAGAAGCCCCUAACAGGUUACUAGUUUAGAUAGAGACACCUGUAAUGAAUGUGGCUUGGUCUGUUUAUUUCAUAAUAUGCUGUGGGGUAAAAAUGUUCAAUUCACAUGUAUACACAUUUGGUUUUGUAAGGUUUUUUCUUGGACAAAUUGAUUUCUGUAUUUUCUAAUAUUUUCUUUCUCGUGAUACGAAUCUAUUCUAAAUGUGGUUUAUUUUUGUUUUGAGGGAUUGAGGGCAAUAAAAAUAUAUUAUAAUUGUGUAAAUUGAUCCUUUAACUAUAUGCUGAUGUAAAGGCUGGUAACUAUACUCUAGGGGUGGACUUUGUUAAUCUACUGUAUCUGUUUUGAUUAUGUGGAGCAAUUAUUUAGAGAUGAUCUCAUCUUUUUUUGUGUGG
ensembl:lncRNA